GGAGCGUUCUGUAAGCCUGCGAAGGUGUGCUGUGAGGCAUGCUGGAGGUAUCAGAAGUGCGAAUGCUGACAUAAGUAACGAUAAAGCGGGUGAAAAGCCCGCUCGCCGGAAGACCAAGGGUUCCUGUCCAACGUUAAUCGGGGCAGGGUGAGUCGACCCCUAAGGCGAGGCCGAAAGGCGUAGUCGAUGGGAAACAGGUUAAUAUUCCUGUACUUGGUGUUACUGCGAAGGGGGGACGGAGAAGGCUAUGUUGGCCGGGCGACGGUUGUCCCGGUUUAAGCGUGUAGGCUGGUUUUCCAGGCAAAUCCGGAAAAUCAAGGCUGAGGCGUGAUGACGAGGCACUACGGUGCUGAAGCAACAAAUGCCCUGCUUCCAGGAAAAGCCUCUAAGCAUCAGGUAACAUCAAAUCGUACCCCAAACCGACACAGGUGGUCAGGUAGAGAAU
rnacentral:rRNA from 1 species